UACGGAGGGUGCAAGCGUUAAUCGGAAUUACUGGGCGUAAAGCGCACGCAGGCGGUUGGAUAAGUUUGCUGUGAAAGCGCCGAGCUCAACCUGGGAAUUGCAUUUAAAACUGCACAGCUAGAGUCUGGUAGGGGGGGGGAGAAUUUCAGGUGUAGCGGUGAAAUGCGUAGAGAUCUGGAGGAAUACCGGUGGCGAAGGCGGCCCCCUGGACAAAGACUGACGCUCAGGUGCGAAAGCGUGGGGAGCAAACAGG
rnacentral:rRNA from 1 species